CAGCGCCACAAGUGGGAGUCGCCUUUAUUGGGCCUAAAGCGUUCGUAGCCGGUUUAGUAAAUCUUUUGUGAAAUUGUCAAGCUUAACUUGACAGCGAGCAGGGGACACUGCUAAACUAGAGACCGGGAGGAGUUGGAGGUAUGUUUGGGGGAGCGGUAAAAUGCUAUAAUCCCUUAUAGACCACCUGUGGCGAAGGCGUCCAACUAGAACGGAUCUGACGGUGAGGAACGAAAGCCAGGGGAGCGAACCGGAUUAGAUACCCGAGUAGUCC
rnacentral:rRNA from 1 species